AACGAACGCUGGCGGCGCGUCUGAUUCAUGCAAGUCGAGCGAGAAAUCCCGCUUCGGCGGGGGAGUAAAGCGGCGGACUGCUGAGUAAUACACAGGUAACCUGCCCGUGAGACCGGGACAACUCUGCGAAAGCGGAGCUAAUACCGGAUAUUAUGACCAACCGUAUGGUUCGGUUAUGAAAUGGUUGGUUCCCUUCGGGGACUUCUGCUCACGGAUGGGCCUGUGGCCUAUUAGCCAGUUGGUGAGGUAACGGCUCACCAAGGCAAUGAUGGGUAGCCGGCCUGAGAGGGUGAUCGGCCGGACUGGGACUGAGACACUGCCCAGACUCCUACGGGAGGCAGCAGAGGAGAAUCAUCCGCAAUGGGCGCAAGCCUGACGGUGCGACGCCGCGUGGGCGAUGAAGGCCUUCGGGUCGUAAAGCCCUGUCAGAGGCGUGGAAAAGGUGGUGGAUGAAAGUCCACCUUCUUGACCUACCUCAAAGGAAGGCCCGGCUAACUUCGUGCCAGCAGCAGCGGUAAUACGGAGGGGUCAAGCGUUGUUCGGAAUUACUGGGCUUAAAGGGCGUCUAGGCGGAUCUGCAAGUCGGGUAUGAAAGCCCCCGGCUCAACUGGGGAACUGUGCCCGAAACUGCAGGUCUUGAGUGCGGGAGAGGAGAGCGGAACUCCCGGUGUAGCGGUGAAAUGCGUUGAUAUCGGGAUGAACGCCGGAGGCGAAAGCGGCUCUCUGGCCUGCUACUGACGCUGAAGCGCGAAAGCUAGGGGAGCAAACGGGAUUAGAUACCCCGGUAGUCCUAGCCGUAAACGAUGGGCACUAGGUGGGGAAGGUUCCGAUAUCUUUCCUGCCGUAGGGAAACCGAUAAGUGCCCCGCCUGGGGAGUACGGCCGCAAGGCUAAAACUCAAAGGAAUUGACGGGGGCCCGCACAAGCGGUGGAGCACGUGGCUCAAUUCGAAGCAAACCGAAGAACCUUAUCCUGGGCUUGACAUGCUGGUGGUACAAUCCUGAAAGGGGGAGGACUCCGUUCUGCGGAGAGCCAGCACAGGUGCUGCAUGGCUGUCGUCAGCUCGUGUGGUGAGAUGUUGGGUUAAGUCCCGUAACGAGCGAAACCCCUGCCCUUAGUUGCCAGCGGGUAAUGCCGGGGACUCUAGGGGGACUGCCGGUGUUAAACCGGAGGAAGGUGGGGAUGACGUCAAGUCAUCAUGGCCCUUAUGCCCAGGGCUGCACACGUGCUACAAUGGCCGGUACAAAGGGACGCCAAACCGCGAGGUGGAGCAAAUCCCAAAAAGCCGGCCCCAGUUCGGAUCGGAGGCUGCAACUCGCCUCCGUGAAGCCGGAAUCGCUAGUAAUCGCGGGUCAGCUAAACCGCGGUGAAUAUGUUCCCGGGCCUUGUACACACCGCCCGUCAAGCC
rnacentral:rRNA from 1 species